CUACCACAUCCAAGGAAGGCAGCAGGCGCGCAAAUUACCCACUCCCGGCACGGGGAGGUAGUGACGAAAAAUAACGAUACGGGACUCUUUUGAGACCCCGUAAUCGGAAUGAGCACGUCCCAAACCCUCUAACGAGGACCCAUUGGAGGGCAAGCCUGGUGCCAGCAGCCGCGGUAACUCCAGCUCCAAUAGCGUAUAUUAAAGUUGUUGCGGUUAAAAAGCUCGUAGUUGGAUCUCAGUUCCGGUCGGGGGGUCCGCCUUCCGGCGGCCACCUCCCGGACCGAACACACGGCCGGUUUCUCCCGAUGAUCUUCACCGGUUGUCUCGAGUGACCGGCGAGUUUACUUUGAAAAAAUUAGAGUGCUCAAAGCAGGCUCCAGAAGCCUGGAUAAUGGUGCAUGGAAUAAUGGAAUAGGACCUCGGUUCUAUUUUGUUGGUUUUAGGAUCACGAGGUAAUGAUUAAGAGGGACAGACGGGGGCAUUCGUAUUGCGACGCUAGAGGUGAAAUUCUUGGACCGUCGCAAGACGAACCACUGCGAAAGCAUUUGCCAAGAAUGUUUCCAUUAAUCAAGAACGAAAGUCAGAGGUUCGAAGGCGAUCAGAUACCGCCCUAGUUCUGACCAUAAACGAUGCCAGCCAGCGAUCCGGCUGUGUUCCUCAAAUGACACGCCGGGCAGCUUCCGGGAAACCAAAGCUUUUGGGUUCCGGGGGAAGUAUGGUU
rnacentral:rRNA from 1 species